GACGAACGCUGGCGGCGUGCCUAAUACAUGCAAGUUGAGCGCUGAAGGUUGGUACUUGUACCAACUGGAUGAGCAGCGAACGGGUGAGUAACGCGUGGGGAAUCUGCCUUUGAGCGGGGGACAACAUUUGGAAACGAAUGCUAAUACCGCAUAAAAACUUUAAACACAAGUUUUAAGUUUGAAAGAUGCAAUUGCAUCACUCAAAGAUGAUCCCGCGUUGUAUUAGCUAGUUGGUGAGGUAAAGGCUCACCAAGGCGAUGAUACAUAGCCGACCUGAGAGGGUGAUCGGCCACAUUGGGACUGGGACACGGCCCAAACUCCUACGGGAGGCAGCAGUAGGGAAUCUUCGGCAAUGGACGAAAGUCUGACCGAGCAACGCCGCGGGAGUGAAGAAGGUUUUCGGAUCGUAAAACUCUGUUGGUAGAGAAGAACGUUGGUGAGAGUGGAAAGCUCAUCAAGUGACGGUAACUACCCAGAAAGGGACGGCUAACUACGUG
rnacentral:rRNA from 1 species